rnacentral:lncRNA from 1 species
CUGACACUGGACUCACUGCUGACUUCCCUAAUUCCUCUGGUCCGUACCUCUUACACAACUUGAGGAUGAAGGAUCCUAACGUGGAGAUAUGAAGAAAAGCUCUUCCAAAGCUCCAAGCUUCAAAACUUGGUUCUUUUGCUCAAAACCUUCAUAAGUCACCAAAACUCUUAAAACUCUUGAAAGAUUUGAUGAACAUCAUGGAAAACAUGAAAGUCAACGUGGGAGAGGCUGAAACUCACCUCUGGCUGCAAGUGGAGGAGAAAUAACCUCCUUCCACCGACCCUUGGCCCUUUUAUAGGUGGCUGGCUAGACC